rnacentral:rRNA from 1 species
CGGAGGGUGCAAGCGUUAUCCGGAUUUACUGGGUUUAAAGGGUGUGUAGGCGGACUUUUAAGUCCGUGGUGAAAUCUCCGGGCUCAACCCGGAAACUGCCAUGGAUACUAUUGGUCUUGAAUAUUGUUGAGGUGGGCGGAACGGGUCAUGUAGCGGUGAAAUGCAUAGAUAUGACCCGGAACACCGAUUGCGAAGGCAGCCCACUAAGCAAUGAUUGACGCUGAGGCACGAAAGCGUGGGGAUCAAACAGGAUUAGAUACCCUGGUAGUCCACGCCCUAAACGAUGAUUACUCGACGUUGGCGAUACACUGAUCAGCGUCCAAGCGAAAGCAUUAAGUAAUCCACCUGGGAAGUACGUUCGCAAGAAUG